rnacentral:lncRNA from 1 species
UUUUUGAUGAUAGAGAUAUCGAAUCGAUGAUCGGAACCGUUGAAGUUAAUCUAGAGUAUUUGAAAUAUCUAGGAACUAAAUUUUAUAAAUUUUAAAAUUUAUUUACAAAGUGAUCAAAGGAUAGCAAAAUUGAUAAUUUUUUGACGGCCUAUAUGAGUAGUUUGCAUGUUUAAUGGUGUAGAGUAAUCUAAAUUAGUUGAAUUUUUGAUAGAAAAUUCUUUAUACUAUUUAGAUAAUGUUUAAUAACUCGUAUCGUAAAUUGAGAAAGUUUAACAUCUGUUUCAAAAGGUCUUUUGUUUUUGACCGUUCAUUUUUC